rnacentral:rRNA from 1 species
CAGUCGCCACGGUAAUACGGAGGGUGCAAGCGUUAAUCGGAAUUACUGGGCGUAAAGCGCACGCAGGCGGUUUGUUAAGUCAGACGUGAAAUCCCCGAGCUUAACUUGGGAACUGCAUUUGAAACUGGCAAGCUAGAGUCUUGUAGAGGGGGGUAGAAUUCCAGGUGUAGCGGUGAAAUGCGUAGAGAUCUGGAGGAAUACCGGUGGCGAAGGCGGCCCCCUGGACAAAGACUGACGCUCAGGUGCGAAAGCGUGGGGAGCAAACAGGAUUAGAUACCCCAGUAGUCCCUGUCUCUUAUAC